rnacentral:misc_RNA from 1 species
GAUGAAGAACGUAGCGAAAUGCGAUAAGUAAUGCGAAUUGCAGAAUUCAGUGAAUCAUCGAAUCUUUGAACGCACAUUGCGCCCGCCAGUAUUCUGGCGGGCAUGCCUGUCUGAGCGUCGUUUCGACCCUCGCGCCCGGCUUCUGUCGGGGGCGGUGUUGGGGAUCGGCCACACCCUUCAGUGGGAGGCCGGCCCCUAAAUUCAGUGGCGACUACGCUGUAGCCUCCCCUGCGUAGUACUAAAACCACCUCGCAGGCGGAGAGCGGUGCGGCCCGCCGUAAAACCCCCCAACUUUUACAAGGUCGACCUCAGAUCAGGUAGGAAUACCCGCUGAACUUAAGCAUAUCAAUAAGCGGAGGA